rnacentral:rRNA from 1 species
UUGGAGGGCAAGUCUGGUGCCAGCAGCCACGGUAAUUCCAGCUACAAUAGCGUAUAUUAAAGUUGUUGCAGUUAAAAAGCUCGUAGUUGAAUUUCGGGGUUAGUAGGUUGGUCAUGCCUCUGGUAUGUACUGGUCUCACUGGUUCCUCCUUCCUGAUGAGCCGUAAUGCCAUUAAUUUGGUGUUGCGGGGAAUUUGGACUGUUACUUUGAAAAAAUUAGAGUGUUUAAAGCAAGCUAACGCUUGAAUACAUUAGCAUGGAAUAAUGAAAUAGGACGUUCGAUCCUAUUUUGUUGGUUUCUAGGAUUGACGUAAUGAUUAAUAGGGAUAGUUGGGGGCAUUAGUAUUCAAUUGUCAGAGGUGGAAUUCUUGGAUUUAUUGAAGACUAACUACUGCGAAAGCAUUUGCCAAGGAUGUUUUCAUUAAUCAAGAACGAAAGUUAGGGGAUCGAAGACGAUCAGAUACCGUCGUAGUCUUAACCAUAAACUAUGCCGACUAGGGAUCGGAUGAUGUUAAUUUUUUAAUGACUCAUUCGGCGCCUUACGGGAAACCAAAGUGUUUGGGUUC